ensembl:snRNA U2 U2 spliceosomal RNA
AUUGCUUCUUGGCCUUUUGGCUAAGAUCAAGUGUAGAAUCUGUUGUAGCUCUAAAAUUGUGCAAAAUUUCCACCUAAAACCAAAGGAAUAUAAUCAGAACACUGUCACUAAUUAGUUAGGUGACCUUGGACAAGCUAUUUCAGUUUUGUGAGACUGUUUCAACAUUUU